GUCCCUGUAGCGCAAUAUAUAGCGUGUUGGACUUCUAACCCAAAGGUAGUGGGUUCGAAUUCCACCUGGGGUU